AAUAGAUACCAGGUAGUCCACGCCGUAAACGAUGUCGACUUGGAGGUUGUGCCCUUGAGGCGUGGCUUCCGGAGCUAACGCGUUAAGUCGACCGCCUGGGGAGUACGGCCGCAAGGUUAAAACUCAAAUGAAUUGACGGGGGCCCGCACAAGCGGUGGAGCAUGUGGUUUAAUUCGAUGCAACGCGAAGAACCUUACCUACUCUUGACAUCCAGAGAACUUAGCAGAGAUGCUUUGGUGCCUUCGGGAACUCUGAGACAGGUGCUGCAUGGCUGUCGUCAGCUCGUGUUGUGAAAUGUUGGGUUAAGUCCCGCAACGAGCGCAGCCCUUAUCCUUUGUUGCCAGCGGUUCGGCCGGGAACUCAAAGGAGACUGCCAGUGAUAAACUGGAGGAAGGUGGGGAUGACGUCAAGUCAUCAUGGCCCUUACGAGUAGGGCUACACACGUGCUACAAUGGCAUAUACAAAGAGAAGCGACCUCGCGAGAGCAAGCGGACCUCAUAAAGUAUGUCGUAGUCCGGAUUGG
rnacentral:rRNA from 1 species